CUGCACAGGUCUCAGGCAUUUUAGCCAUAGGAACCACCUCCAGCUUAUCAGUGAACUGGACAAAAGCAGUUGGGCAGGUUUCCUCAUACYUUGUCCAGUUAUACAAUAACACAAAUUCCUUGAUAAACAACACAGAGCUGAGUAAUGAGACUACACAGUUUAAAUUUGAGUAUUUGAAACCAGGAGUGCUUUACCGUGUUGAGGUUGUCACCAAAAGUGGACCGAAGGAGAGCAACAGAAGUGUUGUUUCUAAUGCAACUUUUCCUAACCCCCCCGGCUCUAUCAAGGUGGACUUUCAGACCAACAGCUCCAUCAGAUUUAGUUGGUCCCUUCCAGCUGAUAUGAACCCUGACCAAUACUUCAUUGUGUCCACUAAAAAUGGCUCUAAUGUUACAACGAACAAYUGGWUCCUGAUGGAAAACCUUGAGUCAGGAUCCAAGUACAAAGUUUCUGUAGUCACUGUUGGUGCAUUGGACUACAGAAGUACAGAAGAGAGCACACAAAACUAUACAAGACCAAAUCCGGUGACAAGUCUGACAAAGACAGAAAUCACCACUAGUUCAGUAACCCUGAAGUGGAAUCAGCCAAGCAGCAAACCACCCUACAUUUAUGAAGUGAAGCUUGAUAGUGUUGUUCCUAAUGAAUCACGGUUGGAAAGGGUAAACACUACAACAUUUACAUUUGAUGGUCUUACGCCUGGGAACCAAUACAAUUUUACCGUCACUACAAUAACAGAAGAUUACACUCGAGCAGAGUCUGURAAGAUUUUCUACU